GAUGAACGCUGGCGGCGUGCCUAAUACAUGCAAGUCGAGCGAACAGACGAGGAGCUUGCUCCUCUGACGUUAGCGGCGGACGGGUGAGUAACACGUGGAUAACCUACCUAUAAGACUGGGAUAACUUCGGGAAACCGGAGCUAAUACCGGAUAAUAUAUUGAACCGCAUGGUUCAAUAGUGAAAGACGGUCUUGCUGUCACUUAUAGAUGGAUCCGCGCCGCAUUAGCUAGUUGGUAAGGUAACGGCUUACCAAGGCAACGAUGCGUAGCCGACCUGAGAGGGUGAUCGGCCACACUGGAACUGAGACACGGUCCAGACUCCUACGGGAGGCAGCAGUAGGGAAUCUUCCGCAAUGGGCGAAAGCCUGACGGAGCAACGCCGCGUGAGUGAUGAAGGUCUUCGGAUCGUAAAACUCUGUUAUUAGGGAAGAACAUAUGUGUAAGUAACUGUGCACAUCUUGACGGUACCUAAUCAGAAAGCCACGGCUAACUACGUG
rnacentral:rRNA from 1 species